rnacentral:lncRNA from 1 species
UGUUGUUAACAAUUCUCUCUUUAUUAAAAAGGGUCCUACAGCUUUACAAACACAGCUCAGACGUGGCCCUGCAGAGAUGGCGAGGCCAGCCUGGAGGCCCCUGCACCAUGUCAACAUCGAGCUCACACGUUUGGCUGCGCCCCGUGCGGGCUGCGGGCACCCCGACAGCGGGGCACGUGGCAGAGGUAUCGGGUGGUGGCACCGCACUCUCAAGAUUCACAGAACAUGGUAGGCCCACCUGAUUGGCAUGGCACUGAGUCCUGUACAGCUUUUAAAAAGACAAUUAUGACACAGAGUUCAAGUCCAGGAGAACUGUACAGUAAUUGAGUACAAAGUUUGGUGGCCUUGCCCGUGGCCCGCUGGGACAGAUGCCAUUUGAGCUCUGCCUUGAUUCUGUCACCCGGGUGGCAGCCAGCUGGGUGAGUGGUCACAGGCUGGGGCCAGGGGUUCACCAAUGAGCACACAGCCCUUUUUUGCCAGCAGACUUCCUCCAGCGGCAACAAAACAAUGCAAAAAAGCCCCUGUGGAACCUAGAGCCACCAAGGGUGGUGGCAACAGCAGCUGGUAACAGCCCCCACCGCCUGCCCGUCCUGAGGCCCACAGGGGAGCCACGGCCGCCCCUCACUGGCACCAGGUGAAGCUAAGGCACAGCACGGGCCGCGGUGCGACUGGGCACUACUUCCAAGAAGGGCACUGCAUUCACUUCGUGUGCACUUCACUCUGCUCAGAACAGUAUGUGCAUUUUUAUAGUUUCCCUGAAUGGUCUUGUGUCAAAAAAGUUUUCUUUGCCAAUAAAAAAUAGGAAAAUUACACAUGUAGUAAAAAUACGGGGGGAGUAUUUCUUCAUAGAAACCCUCAGGGCUGGCUCGAGGCGGAGGGAGAGCAGGAGAGCCCGGAACAUCAUCUGCUGUGCAAAGUCCAGCUCGGAGCCAUCUCCUCAGGGCCGGCCGCAACUCGCCCGGCGAGGCCGUGGCAGUGGGCCAAGUGCAAACUCUGCGUGUGGCUUUGAAACACCCACGUUCAGGAGAGGAGGGGGUGACUGACGACCACCCCACACAGAUUAAGCAAGCACCUUCCGGGCUAGCCCACCCAACCAACCCGUACCAGGGGCUGCGGCGGGCGGCGGGCUGGGACACACACAACUGUCUUUUGAAAACAAACCAGAAAUGAUGAACCAUGCUUACUAGAUAAAGCUGCAACAGGAGGACCACGAUUCUAAACAGGAACGGAGGGAGGCUUUUUCCUCCAAACUCGUGAGUUCAUCAACACUACGAGACUUAGAAAUGAUACCGAGAACGCAAACCAGCGCAACCACAGGGAUGCCAGGCGGAGGCCCAGCACACACAGCCGCCUGGGUGUACACGACUGGUUUCUACGUCUACUUACCACUGACCUACAGUUCUAAAAUCAGAUGGACAUCCCGGCCCAGGGCACCGGAGCCCUUGGCAGAGCACCUGGUCCUCGAAGCCUCCCCGGUGUGUGCGGAACCCCGGCCAGCAGGCGCAGGUGAGGGAGCCUCCCAGGAGGCCGAGGGCCACUCACUGGAGGAUGAAGCCCGGCUGGUGAGGCAGCCGGGGUGGGGGUCUCUGGGGGAGAGGUGGCGGGUAUGGUGACACAAACUGUGUGGAGAAUCCUUGGGGGGGGGGAAGGCCCACGCGGGGGGGCAGGGGUGGGCACUGUGAUCCUGGGUACGGAAAGGCCUGUCCUGAGGCCAAGGCGGCGGUAAAUGGCGUGGCUGACCGUCCUGCAGGCACCGGGGGCGGUGGGGGUGGGAUGCGCCGAGGCACGACUGACGGGGGCCCGCUGGCCUCCGAGGCGGAGUAGGGCAGGGGGGCAGCGGGCACUGGUUCGGGCACCCUGGGGGGCAGCGGGGCUGGAGCUGGGGCCUGCGGAAGUCUCUGCCCCUUCAGCACCAUCUCCUGGAGCUUCUCAAUUUUAACUCUGCGCAUGUGGGCCAGUUUCCGCUUGCUCUGGUAGACAUCGAUGAAGGAGUCGAGAGGAAGCUCUCCAUCGAGAAACUUCUCUGCCAUGUUCUGGAAGCAGCAGGAGAAACCCGAUUACAGGGAAGGUCAG